rnacentral:rRNA from 1 species
UACAGAGGGUCUCAAGCGUUGUUCGGAUUCAUUGGGCGUAAAGGGUGUGUAGGUGGCGCGCUAAGUCGGGUGUGAAAAUUUCGGAGCUUAACUCCGAAACUGCAUUCGAUACUGGCGUGCUUGAGGACUGGAGAGGAGACUGGAAUUCAUGGUGUAGCAGUGAAAUGCGUAGAGAUCAUGAGGAAGACCAGUGGCGAAGGCGGGUCUCUGGACAGUUCCUGACACUGAGGCACGGAAGGCCAGGGGAGCAAACGGG